AAAAAAUUUAAUUUUGGUUAAGUUAUUAAAUGAAAAAAUUUAUUAUAUAUAAAUUUUUGUAAAAAAAAAAUAAAUUUAAAAAAUUUAUAUAAAUUGAUUAAUAAAUGAAAUUAAAAAUUUAAGUAAUUAAUAUUUAGAAUAUUUUUUUAAUAUUAAUAAAAUUUGUGCCAGCAAUUGCGGUUAAACAAAUAAUAUAAUUUAAUUUUAUUAAUAUAAAUAAAUUUAAAAUAAUUCUUAAAUUUAAUAAUAAUAAAAUAUUUUUAGUGAAAUAAAAAUGUUUUUAAAAAUUAAAUAUGAUUUAAAAUGAAAAUUUUAUGUUAAUAUAAUAAACUAGGAUUAGAUACCCUAUUAUAAUUAAUUUAAAUAAAUUUAAUUAAAUAAUUAAUUGUUAAAUCAUUAAAUUUAAAAAAUAUUGGCGGUAUUUUAUUUAUUCAGAGGAACUUAUUUUAUAAUUGAUAAUACACGAUAAGAAUAACUUAAAUUUUAAAUUUAUAUAUUGUUGUUUUCAAAAAAUUUUUAAAAAAUAAUUUUUAUAAUAUAAUUUUAAUAAAAUAUUUCAAAUCAAAAUGUAGUUUUAUUUAAGAAAAAAUGAGUUACAAUAAAAAUAAAUUUUGAAAUAUUUAAUUUAAGUUAAGUAUGAAAUUGAAUUUGAAAGUAAAUUUAUUAAAUUAUUUAGAUUGAUUAUAAUUUAAAAUAUGUACAUAUUGCCCGUCAUUUUCAAAUUAAAUUGAAACAAGUCGUAACAAAGUAAAUUUACUGGAAAGUAAAUUUAGAAUUUUUAUUUAAUUAAAUUUAUAUAAUAUAAUAAUUAAUUUUUAAAUUAAAAAUUUUUUUAAAAAAAAAAUUAAA
rnacentral:ncRNA from 1 species